CGUUUACUAGCAACUCCAUCUUCAUGCAGGCGAGUUGCAGCCUGCAAUCUGAACUGAGACCAACUUUGAGGAUUGGCUCCACCUCCGCGGCUUAGCAACCUAUUGGUG
rnacentral:rRNA from 1 species